AUGGAUAUAGUUGCUUUGAACAAAGGGUCUCGCCCUAGGCUUAGGAACUCACCUAUUUUCAAGAGCACCACUAACCCACUGACUCAAUUUGGUUUUGUAGAUUUUAGAUUGGAUUUGGUGAUAAAGUUGAGAUCUUUCAACGAUUCAGCUGGUCAGAAUAGUAGCGCUCUGCAUUAUACGUUUGGGGCCCACAAAUCGGGUCUCAAGAUCAAGAUUUGGCAAAUAGUAUUAUCAAUGAAGCAGUUGAGCUAG